rnacentral:rRNA from 1 species
UUCUGCAUUGAUUCUGAGAAGAGCCUGGUUAGUACCUGGAUGGGAGACCGCCUGGGAAUACCAGGUGUUGUAGGCU